UACAUAAUAGUACCUUACUUAAACAGUACCUACCUAUUGUUUAUAAUAAAAAAGUUAUAAAUAUUCAAUUUGUAUUUAAAAAAGCAUUUAUUAAUAGCAAUAUAAAGGUGAUCACCGGAGACCCGCAAGAGACGCAUUUUAAAAAAUACUUACCUACUUAAAAUGUAUAUAUUUACUAAACAUCUUUAUUGUUAACAAAAUAACAAAGAGAAGAUGUAUGUUUGCUUAUAGUAGAGCUUGUCUAUUUUGAAAUGACGCGCCCCACCACCGCAAUUUACACAUCUAAGUGAACAAAAUUAUGUAGCAGGGUGCGUCAUUUCAAAAUAGACAAGCUCUAUGAGAUUUUACAACUUACAAAGGAUAAUAGAAUUGGACAGUCGAAACAAAAUAAAUGUCAAACUAAAAUGGACCUAAGAUUGAUUUAAAGUCAAGACUUCAAUUCCAAAGAUUUUAAUUUUUCCGCUUGGAGCGCUGGCUAUUUGGAAAAGGCUAUUAAGACCCAUUUUAUUAUAAUAGGUACCUACUUAAUAAAAUGUUUCGAUCAUCGAAUUCUAAUUCGAAUUCAUGUUGGUGACAUUUAAAACUUAUACUAAGGCCUCUUAUCACAUAUUCAGCAUCAAGAAAAUGCUGCUAAUCUUAAUGAGAAUAUUUUCGAUUCGAUGCGAUCGAUGGAGCUGAAUCUUUCACUCGCAUUUUCAGAAAUACUAAAAAAUGCGUCUCUUAUCGCUCUGGUAUGCGAUCACCUUAAGGUUUAAAGGAUUUUUCAACUGUUUUUUGGCUUACCUAUUACAGAAUUGCUGAAAUCUUGGCAAAAAAUAAUUUUAAUUAUACUUUAAUGUUAAAUUAAAUAGAGGCCUUAGCAAUGCAGCUAAGUUAAUAUUUAUUGUAAGUAAAGAAAAUAUUAAAACUACUUGUCCGAAACCGAUUUUCAAGUGACCGAUAUUUAUUGUGCUUUCUUUUUGUAAAGUAAAAUCGGUCGGAAUGACGAAUUAAAAACGCAAAUCGGUCGCAUGCUAUUUUUGAUGUGGAAUUACUGUCACAUUUCUAUUAUCUUGCGCCGCUGUUAAAAUAAAUACUACAUUAUAGUAUAAAUAAAACCAUAAUAAUUAUUAUAAGUAAUAAUAUUAUUCUUUAAAGCUUGUAGAAUAUACUUAUUGUAUGGUCAACAGCAACAGUAGGUAUGUACCCUAAGCAUACAACCUAACCAUUUUGACGGUUCUAAUUAAAUAUUAUUUGAUAGACUUCAAUGGCGAGGUUGUAUGUGAGUACAGUCAGCAUAAAAUAUAUUUUAUCUAUGCUCACAAAUUAUGUUAUUAGUUACCAUUAUAUUGUAAUUUGGAUUUUAAGAUAGUAUUAUGGGUUUUGAUAAAGUGGUGUAUGAAACUGCACAUAACUAAUUAUUUAAAACAUGAGUGCGAGUUUAAAAACCGAGCCGUAGGUGAGGUAUUUAAUAGUAUCACACGAGUUUUAAUGCCCUCAUUAAUCGUUACGAGGAUUUUCAAUAAACUUUUAUUUAACAGUUUUAUAAACUAGGUACAUACCUACUAUUAUUUGCGUUUAUAAAACAGUAAUAACGCCCAAUGAGAAGAUCGUAGUUUUAGCACAUGAGUAGGUUUUAGUACCACGUCAUAGUUGCCGUUAUAUUGCAAAAGAUGGUGUAAUACAAAGCCAGGGCACACGUGUGAAAGAAUAUUAUAGUUGUACAUUGAAAGAGUCCCUAUUUCUUAACGUGAAUAUCCACAAGAAAAAUAUUUUGAUGCUGACUGUACAAUGUAGGUAGGUACACAUUGUUUUUGACUGUAAUAGUUUUAUGGAAAGAAUGUUAGACCAAAAAAGAAUGGCCUAGAUAGUAACUGAAAUGGUGCUAUAGUCCUUUAGAUUUUGAUCUCAUAUCAAUUUGAGAGUGUGUGUGUUGCUUAUGUGUUGAUUCCCAACUAUCGAAUCGGUUGUGUUAAAUGAUGUUAAUGAAAAUUUUAUUCUUAGUACUUAUAGAAAAUAAAUAUGAGUUUAAUUCAGAA